rnacentral:rRNA from 1 species
GACGAAGGGGGCUAGCGUUGUUCGGAAUUACUGGGCGUAAAGCGCGUGUAGGCGGUUGCCCAAGUCGGGUGUGAAAGCCUUGAGCUCAACUCAAGAAAUGCACUCGGUACUGGGUGACUAGAGGACCGGAGAGGAUAGUGGAAUUCCCAGUGUAGUGGUGAAAUACGUAGAGAUUGGGAAGAACACCAGUGGCGAAGGCGGCUAUCUGGAACGCAACUGACGCUGAGACGCGAAAGCGUGGGGAGCAAACAGG